CUGAUGCAGCAACGCCGCGUGAGCGAUGAAGGCCUUCGGGUCGUAAAGCUCUGUCCUAAGGGAAGCGAAUGACGGUACCUUAGGAGGAAGCCCCGGCUAACUACGUGCCAGCAGCCGCGGUAAUACGUAGGGGGCAAGCGUUAUCCGGAAUAACUGGGCGUAAAGGGUGCGUAGGCGGCCCUGCAAGUCAGAAGUGAAAGGCUACGGCUCAACCGUAGUAAGCUUUUGAAACUGUAGGGCUUGAGUGCAGGAGAGGAGAGUAGAAUUCCUAGUGUAGCGGUGAAAUGCGUAGAUAUUAGGAGGAAUACCAGUUGCGAAGGCGGCUCUCUGGACUGUAACUGACGCUGAGGCACGAAAGCGUGGGGAGCGAACAGGAUUAGAUACCCUGGUAGUCCACGCCGUAAACGAUGAGUGCUAGGUGUCGGGGGUUACCCCCCUCGGUGCCGCAGCUAACGCAUUAAGCACUCCGCCUGGGGAGUACGCUCGCAAGAGUGAAACUCAAAG
rnacentral:rRNA from 1 species